UUCAGAUGUCUUUUCUCAAAGUUGAGGACUUCUUCAAUGAAAAAGACUGUCUCCACCAGCAUUUUCCUCCCCUGGGUCAUCUUGGAGGUCUGCAUGUAGGCUGUGAUUCUGUGGGGCUCUGCUGGAUCAGCUUGCUUGAUUCCAGGCCCAGGUCUGUUGUAUGUAUCUCCUCAUCCUGGGACCAUUGGCUACGCAAGGUUUGAUCUUCUCACGGUCGAUGGCAGAAGUUCAAGAGAUCAAGCAGAGUCACAGAGGCACAUUUAAAGCCUCUGCUUCCAUUGCAUCUACUCACACUACUGGCCAUAGCAAGUCACAUGACCAAGACUGACAACCACGGGUCAGAAAGAACACUCUACCCACAGUGAGAAAAUGUCAAAAAUCUUCACCAGCUGGGUUCCGAUGCCUUUGUUCAAUAAAGGUAGAGAUAAUAACUGUCUCUAAAAAGAAAAUGUGCCGAGGUUCCCAGGAGAAGUGGUGGAAACAAAUCUUUUAUUAAAUCAUAUCAAAUUGUGUUUCUUGUUUACUUUUCUCAUUUUGUAAGUCACAGUCAUAUCUGCUAGUUUUGGUAAACCUUGCCUCACAGUCGUAAAAAAAAAACAAAACAAAAAAACCUCCCAGCAAUUUGGAGGCUUGGUGUUGUUAAAGCUAAAUGCUGUGUGAUCAAUCGGGGUGAUAAAUUUCACACAAUUAACUGCCGUGAUGACAUUUCUGAGUCUGUUCGUCUAUUUUCCCCCGCUGACAUGUUAGGAGAUUGGUUAACUUCUGCCUAUAUUUGCAGAUGUUCUAUGGAUGCCUAGAAAAAGAACAGCAGGAAAAUGUAGUCAAUAUCUGGAGUUUUUACCUGUUCACAAAUUUGUGACCCUUAGAGUAAUAACAUCUCAAUUUUCCUUUGAGGGCAGGUGGUUCACAUAGGCUAGCUCUAUUCCUACUGCGAGGAGAGGCG